rnacentral:rRNA from 1 species
GAGUUUGAUCGUGGCUCAGGAUGAACGCUGGCGGCGUGCCUAACACAUGCAAGUCGAACGGGCGCGGCGUGCGGCAGGGGCCUCGGCCUCUGCGGCGUCGCGCGAGUGGCGGACGGGUGAGUAACGCGUGGGGCAACCUGCCCUGUACUGGGGGAUAACACCUGGAAACAGGUGCUAAUACCGCAUAAGCGCGGCGUGCCGCAUGGCAUGGCGCGGAAAACCCCGGUGGUACAGGAUGGGCCCGCGUCUGAUUAGCUGGUUGGCAGGGUAACGGCCUACCAAGGCGACGAUCAGUAGCCGGCCUGAGAGGGCGGACGGCCACACUGGGACUGAGACACGGCCCAGACUCCUACGGGAGGCAGCAGUGGGGGAUAUUGCACAAUGGGGGAAACCCUGAUGCAGCGACGCCGCGUGGGUGAGAAGCGCCUCGGCGCGUAAAGCCCUGUCAGCAGGAAGAAAAUGACGGUACCUGAAGAAGAAGCCCGG